AUGGGGGAAUCCUUAACUAAGGUAGUACCUAGGGUCCCUUAAGGUAGUACCUAAGGGCCAUUAAGGUAGUACCUAAAGGCUCUUAACGUAGUACCUAAGGUACAGUCCCAAAAAACAAAGGGUGGACAACUUUAGCACACAAGAGAAGCACAUAAUGGCAUGGUAUAAGGGUCACAAAGGAAGGCUCGAGACUUGGGAGAGGUAGAAUUCAAGUUUAGUUAAGGUAGUGCCUAAGGUCCCCUAAGGUAGUACCUAAGGGCCAUUAAGGUAGUACCCAAGGGCUCUUAAGGUAGUACCUAAGUUACAGUCCCAAAAAACCAAUGGUGGACCACUUCAACACUGAAGAGAACCACAUAAUGGGAUGCUAUAAGGGUCACCAAGGAAGACCCGAGGCUUGGGAGAGGUUGAGUUCAAGUUUACUUUAAGGUAGUACCUAGGGUCCCUUAAGGUAGUACCUCAAGGUCACUAAGGUAGUACCUAAAGGCCCUUAAAGUAGUACCUAAGGUACAAUCCCAAAAACCCUUUGGUGGACCACUUCAACACUCAAGAGAACCAUAUAAUGGGAUGCUCUAAGGGUCACAAAGGAAGACUCGAGGCUUGGGAGAGGUUGAGUUCAUGUUUACCUUAAGGUAGUACCUAAGUUACAGUCCCAAAAAACCUUUGGUGGACCUCUUGAGCACUCAAGAGAACCACAUAAUGGGAUGCUCUAAGGGUCACAAAGGGGAACCCAAGAAGCAAAAUCCGGGAGAAAUUUGUUCCGGUUCACAUAUGAGUCUGUUGAGCUGGCCCAAGGGGAAGGCAUUUUCGGUAUGAAAUAACACCUCGGACCAGAGUGCAUGAAAAGGAAAAAUUUUCUUGAAAUAGUGGACAUAUCUUGGGUUAUGCAAACUUGGGUUUUGAAAACAAUAUUAUUGGGAAAUGGGGCCCCAAAACACAACUUUCCCUUCAUAAUUCCUGUGUUCAUGGUGUACUUCCAUUUUUGCUAGACACCUUCUAAUAAAAUUUUAUUUUCCUAUUAACAAAAAA
rnacentral:lncRNA from 1 species